rnacentral:snoRNA from 1 species
GCAUAGAUGAAUAUUGUGUUCUUUUUAUUAGCAGUUUUCAUAGCAAGACACUAUGCAGAAAAAUCCCCCCAAAC